rnacentral:rRNA from 1 species
AGCGGCGGACGGGUGAGUAACGCGUGGGUAACCUGCCGUCAUACAGGGGGAUAACAGUUGGAAACGGCUGCUAAUACCGCAUAAGCGCACAGUACCGCAUGGUACCGUGUGAAAAACUCCGGUGGUAUGAGAUGGACCCGCGUCUGAUUAGGUAGUUGGUGGGGUAACGGCCUACCAAGCCGACGAUCAGUAGCCGACCUGAGAGGGUGACCGGCCACAUUGGGACUGAGACAUGGCCCAA